GUGCCAGCAGCCGCGGUAAUACGGGGGAUGCGAGCGUUAUCCGGAAUCAUUGGGCGUAAAGCGCCUGUAGGUUGUUUAAUAAGUCUGUUGUUAAAGGCUAGGGCUUAACCCUAGAAAAGCAAUGGAAACUAAUAAACUUGAGUAUGGUAGGGGUAGAGGGAAUUUUUAGUGUAGCGGUGAAAUGCGUAGAUAGUAGAAAGAA
rnacentral:rRNA from 1 species